rnacentral:lncRNA from 1 species
CAUAAGCACAACCAACAAAUAGUGACUCACAUCUGCUAGCAUACUUUAAGAAAAAGUAUAUCUAAGAACAAGUAGAAUAUGAUUUUUCAAAAUUAAACUAGUCCAACCAAAUCUAUGUUAAGUUUUCUUUCUUUUUCUUAUCAAUGAUUAGAACAGCUACUUUAUACAGAAAUCAAAUCUUCUUUUUAUUUCUCCCUUUAUUGAUCAAGAAUACUGAAAUUAAUUCAAGACGAUAGAU